rnacentral:rRNA from 1 species
UACGUAGGGGGCGAGCGUUAUCCGGAAUUACUGGGCGUAAAGCGUGCGCAGGCGGUUUUGUAAGUCUGUCGUGAAAUCCCCGGGCUCAACCUGGGAAUUGCGAUGGAGACUGCAAGGCUAGAUCUGGCAGAGGGGGGUAGAAUUCCACGUGUGAGCAGUGAAAUGCGUAGAGAUGCGGAGGAACACCGAUGGCGAAGGCAGCCCCCUGGGCUAACACUGACGCUCAGGCACGAAAGCGUGGGGAGCCAAACGAGG